rnacentral:tRNA from 1 species
GCUUGUGUAGCUUAAGAGGUCUGAGCGCAGGUCUGAAAAACCUGAGGAUGAAGGUUCGAUACCUUCCGCAAGCACCA